rnacentral:rRNA from 1 species
UCGAGCGGUAGCACAGGGGAGCUUGCUCCCUGGGUGACGAGCGGCGGACGGGUGAGUAAUGUCUGGGAAACUGCCUGAUGGAGGGGGAUAACUACUGGAAACGGUAGCUAAUACCGCAUAACGUCGCAAGACCAAAGAGGGGGACCUUCGGGCCUCUUGCCAUCAGAUGUGCCCAGAUGGGAUUAGCUAGUAGGUGGGGUAAUGGCUCACCUAGGCGACGAUCCCUAGCUGGUCUGAGAGGAUGACCAGCCACACUGGAACUGAGACACGGUCCAGACUCCUACGGGAGGCAGCAGUGGGGAAUAUUGCACAAUGGGCGCAAGCCUGAUGCAGCCAUGCCGCGUGUGUGAAGAAGGCCUUCGGGUUGUAAAGCACUUUCAGCGAGGAGGAAGGUGGUGAACUUAAUACGUUCAUCAAUUGACGUUACUCGCAGAAGAAGCACCGGCUAACUCCGUGCCAGCAGCCGCGGUAAUACGGAGGGUGCAAGCGUUAAUCGGAAUUACUGGGCGUAAAGCGCACGCAGGCGGUUUGUUAAGUCAGAUGUGAAAUCCCCGGGCUCAACCUGGGAACUGCAUUUGAAACUGGCAAGCUAGAGUCUCGUAGAGGGGGGUAGAAUUCCAGGUGUAGCGGUGAAAUGCGUAGAGAUCUGGAGGAAUACCGGUGGCGAAGGCGGCCCCCUGGACGAAGACUGACGCUCAGGUGCGAAAGCGU